rfam:Solanum tuberosum cultivar DM 1-3 516 R44 scf00038_32, whole genome shotgun sequence.
AUUUCCAAAAAAGCGACAGACAGUGUCCUAUAGUCCGUCACUUUUUUGGGAUUUU